rnacentral:rRNA from 1 species
UGGGUGAUCUGCCCUGCACUUUGGGAUAAGCCUGGGAAACUGGGUCUAAUACCGAAUAGGACUACGGCCUGCAUGGGUUGUGGUGGAAAGCUUUUGCGGUGUGGGAUGGGCCCGCGGCCUAUCAGCUUGUUGGUGAGGUUACGGCUCACCAAGGCGACGGACGGGUAGCUGGUCUGAGAGGAUGAUCAGCCACAGUUGGGACUGAGACACGGUCCAGACCUCCGUACGGGAGCA